rnacentral:rRNA from 1 species
UGGGGAAUAUUGCACAAUGGGCGCAAGCCUGAUGCAGCCAUGCCGCGUGUGUGAAGAAGGCCUUCGGGUUGUAAAGCACUUUCAGCGAGGAGGAAGGUGGUGAACUUAAUACGUUCAUCAAUUGACGUUACUCGCAGAAGAAGCACCGGCCAACUCCGUGCCAGCAGCCGCGGUAAUACGGAGGGUGCAAGCGUUAAUCGGAAUUACUGGGCGUAAAAGCGCACGCAGGCGGUUUGUUAAGUCAGAUGUGAAAUCCCCGGGCUCAACCUGGGAACUGCAUUUGAAACUGGCAAGCUAGAGUCUCGUAGAGGGGGGUAGAAUUCCAGGUGUAGCGGUGAAAUGCGUAGAGAUCUGGAGGAAUACCGGUGGCGAAGGCGGCCCCCUGGGCGAAGACUGACGCUCAGGUGCGAAAGCGUGGGGCAGCAAACAGGAUUAGAUACCCUGGUAGUCCACGCUGUAAACGAUGUCGAUUUGGAGGUUGUGCCCUUGAGGCGUGGCUUCCGGAGCUAACGCGUUAAAUCGACCGCCUGGGGAGUACGGCCGCAAGGUU